GGAGUCUAGCAUGUGCGCGAGUCAUUGGGACUCUACUAUUCCUAAAGGCGCAAUGAAAGUGAAGGUCCGCCCCGCGCGGACCUAGGGAAGAUGGGCCGGUCCUCGGACCGGCCCCGCACUCCCGGGGCGUCUCGUUCUCAUCGCGAGAAGAGGCGCACCCAGAGCGUACACGCUGGGACCCGAAAGAUGGUGAACUAUGCCUGGUCAGGACGAAGUCAGGGGAAACCCUGAUGGAGGUCCGUAGCGAUUCUGACGUGCAAAUCGAUCGUCGGAACUGGGUAUAGGGGCGAAAGACUAAUCGAACCAUCUAGUAGCUGGUUCCCUCCGAAGUUUCCCUCAGGAUAGCUGGCGCUCGCCGCGUGCGAGUCUCAUUCGGUAAAGCGAAUGAUUAGAGGCAUUGGGGUCGAAACGGCCUCAACCUAUUCUCAAACUUUAAAUGGGUGAGAUCUCCGGCUUGCUUGAACGGUGAAGCCGCGAGAUAUCGGAUCAGAGUGCCAAGUGGGCCACUUUUGGUAAGCAGAACUGGCGCUGUGGGAUGAACCAAACGCCGAGUUAAAGCGCCCAAAUCGACGCUUAUGGGAUACCAUGAAAGGCGUUGGUAACUUAAGACAGCAGGACGGUGGCCAU
rnacentral:rRNA from 1 species